UUGCUCACUUUGGCAGCACAUAUACUAAAAUUGGAAUGAUACAAAGAAGAUUAGCAUGGCCCCUGCACAGGAUGACAUGCAAAUUCGUGAAGCAUUCCAUAUUUUU
rnacentral:snRNA from 1 species